AACUUUAGUCCACAUCUCAACUUUUAAAACAAGGGAUGAUUGUCUAUAUACCUUUCAUACGUUUGAAAAUAUCUGAUUUAUCUUUAUUUUUUUUCUUUCUAAAAUACCCCUUAUAUGUUCCACAGUUUUUAUAAAAUAUCUCCACAGUUAUUUUUUGUUAAGUUAAUUUGGGUUAAACGUGAGUUAAAUAUCUACCAGAGUUAAAAAAAAUUAAAAUGCCAAUUUUGCCCUUAACUUAAGGGCAAAUAAGAAAUGUUGGUGACGGUAGAAGGGUAAAAUUAAAAUACUUUUUGUGCCCCUGACUUUAAGGGCAAACAAGAAAGUCAGUGAUGUGGAAGGGUAUAUUUGAAAAGGCAAAAUAGUAAUUUUACAGAGAUAACAGAGUUAAUUAAUCGAUCUUAACUCUAGGGGGAUAUUAGAAAUAAGUUGGAACGUAGAAAGAGUAUUUUCAUAUUAGCCUUCUAAAAGGAGUAAAUCGGAAAGUCGAGAACUUUUCAGGAUAUAUAAGCAAUUGCCUCUUAAAACAAAAUCAU
rnacentral:lncRNA from 1 species